rnacentral:rRNA from 1 species
GAAUUUUGCACAAUGGGGGAAACCCUGAUGCAGCGACGCCGCGUGGGUGAUGAAGGCCUUAGGGUUGUAAAGCCCUUUCAGCAGGGAAGAUGAUGACGGUACCUGCAGAAGAAGCCCCGGCUAACUCCGUGCCAGCAGCCGCGGUAAUACGGAGGGGGCUAGCGUUGUUCGGAAUUACUGGGCGUAAAGCGCGCGUAGGCGGCUUGAAAAGUUGGGUGUGAAAUCCCGGGGCUCAACUCCGGAACUGCAUUCAAAACUUUCUGGCUAGAGACUUAGAGAGGUGGGCGGAAUUCCGAGUGUAGAGGUGAAAUUCGUAGAUAUUCGGAAGAACACCGGUUGCGAAGGCGGCUCACUGGCUAAGUUCUGACGCUGAGGUGCGAAAGCGUGGGGAGCAAACAGG